GCAGUCUUUGAGGUUCUCCUUGAUGAUGAUGUCGGUGACGGCGUCGAAGACGAACUUGACGUUCUGGGUAUCAGUGGCGCACGUCAUGUGGGAAUAGAUCUCCUUCACGUCGCGCCGCAUGUUGAGCUCGAGGAACUGCACCUUGAUGUAGUUGCCCGCGUCCUCAAAACGUCCUUCUUGUUGAGGAAGAGCACGAUGGACGUGGUGGCGAAGUAGCGGUGGUUGCAGAUGCUGUUGAACAGCACCAUGUCGUAGGCGCUCAGCGCCGCGAUGAAGAUGAUGCAGGUCACGCCCUCGAAACAGUGGAUCCACUUUUUGCGUUCCGAGCGCUGUCCACCCACAUCAAACAUCCUGCGGGAGAAGGUGGGGGGACGAUAAGGGGACCUGAAGCCCCUUGCACACACACCCUGGCAUCCAUCCGCUUGCCUUUCUAUGUCUGGGAGGCUCUCACAUGGACUGACUUUUUGGGGGGAGGGAGUUUCCAAGGUAGGGUUUCACUCUAGCUCAGACCGACCUA